rnacentral:rRNA from 1 species
AGCGAACGCUGGCGGCAGGCUUAACACAUGCAAGUCGAGCGCCCCGCAAGGGGAGCGGCAGACGGGUGAGUAACACGUGGGAACGUGCCUUUUGGUUCGGAACAACCCAGGGAAACUCGGGCUAAUACCGGAUAAGCCCUUACGGGGAAAGAUUUAUCGCCAAAAGAUCGGCCCGCGUCUGAUUAGCUAGUUGGUGGGGUAAUGGCCCACCAAGGCUACGAUCAGUAGCUGGUCUGAGAGGAUAAUCAGCCACAUUGGGACUGAGACACGGCCCAAACUCCUACGGGAGGCAGCAGUGGGGAAUCUUGGACAAUGGGCGCAAGCCUGGUCCAGCCAUGCCGCGUGAGUGAUGAAGGCCUUAGGGUUGUAAAGCUCUUUCAGUGGGGAAGAUAAUGACGGUACCCACAGAAGAAGCCCCGGCUAACUUCGUGCCAGCCGCCGCAGUAA